UCCGUAGGUGGAUAAUUAAGUCAGAGGUGAAAGUUUGCAGCUCAACUGUAAAAUUGCCUUCGAUACUGGUUAUCUUGAGUUAUUGUGAAGUAGUUAGAAUAUGUAGUGUAGCGGUGAAAUGCAUAGAUAUUACAUAGAAUACCAAUUGCGAAGGCAGAUUACUAACAAUAUACUGACACUGAUGGACGAAAGCGUGGGUAGCGAACAGGAUUAGAUACCCUGGUAGUCC
rnacentral:rRNA from 1 species